UGUAGGAGCGAGCCUGCUCGCGAAGGUGUGUCAGCUACCUUGGUGUCGGCUGACACACCAUCGCGAGCAGGCUCGCUCCUACA
rnacentral:antisense_RNA from 1 species